GGCCAACUCACACGUUAGUGUUCAAACAAAACAGGUCUAACCAGGUUAUGCCUGUGUCUCAAGAACAGAGACAACCUGUUAAUGGAUGAGGAAUUGAUUUGGUGGUGACCGUGCCUUUCAGCUUAGAGGCAGUUUCAGGUACCAAGCGUGGAAGGAGCGUCUAGCCCAUUCUCUCUCGGGGCACCAUGACUGGCUCUUGGUAGUGACUCUUGACAGUUUUAGAGGACUUUGAACAGGCUUUUUCCCCAGCCCCAGGAUCCAGAAAAGAAAACCAAAACGCCAACAGAGUCUGAACAAGACAUGGACUGCUAAGGAGAUCUUCGGAUUUCCCAGAGCCCCAUCCCCCUGAGUCAAGGCUAUGCAGGGAGUUUCCUAUUCUUGCUUCACUGGGUCCCAAAUGUUUCUCCACCUGCACAGAGUAUGCUCCUGAAAGGGAUGCAGAAGACUGUCGUUAUCACCAGACUUCCACCAUUCAUCCUGUUUCUAAGACUCUCUGGGAGACAGAAGAAGGACAUAGAGUAAUGAGGUCAAGCUUUUGCAAAGGCAUGGAACCUGAGUCAAGUCCUGAUGGGGGUGUCUCAGUUAGUAAGGUGCCUACUGUACAUGCAUGAGAACCUUUGUUUGGAUCCCCAACAUCCAGGUAGAAAGCCCAGCAUGGCAGUGUGCACCUGCAAUCCUAGCCCCAGAGAUGCCAUGAGAAGAGUUCCCUAGGGCUUGCUGGCCAGCUAGUCCUGCAGAAUCACUGAGAGUCCCUGUCUCAAAACAAGGCAGAGAGUGACUGAAGAAAAUGUCAGUCUCUGGCUCUCUGUGCACAUGCGCUCAAGUGUAAACACACAUACACAUCACACACACGCAAAUGGUGCAGGCAGGGCAGACAGGAUUAUUUGCAGUGGCUUGGAGUUCCUGAGUUAGUUGGUUUGUCUGCUAAAAGAUCCCUAUCACAAAAUCAAGGAAGCAAAGGGACCUAACUGCUAAAUGGAGGCCAAGACAAAGAGUCUCUCUGAGAUUAUCAAGCCCUAAGGGGUCCAAGUCUCAGACAAAGCCCUGAUGUCAUUACAGGCCAAUGGCAGCAGGAUGUCCUUACUUUGCACACACAGAUGCUCACUUGCUUUACACUUCUGUUCCUAACUAGAAGCCUAUAUUUAUCUUUGAAAGCAAAUGUGUGUUUGUGUAUGUUUCAGUCUCUGAUUCUCUGCUGAUGAUAUAGAUCUACCCCAGGGCAGAAUGGGACAGCUGUGUAAUAAGAGACACAACAAAAAUAUUAAUACAAGCUGAACAGGAACAAGAGUUUCUCUCUCUCUCUCU